GCUAACCUUCACUUAAUCUUGUGAAGUCAUUGUUCAAACCAGGUCCCACCGAUAUCAUGAGAUUCGUUAUAUUUUUAAUAUUCCUUGGACUCUGCGGUUUUGGUGCGUCUUUAUCAAACCGUCAAUCCAAAAUGUAUUUCACGGUUCCAUUGCCGGUUCCACCUACCACAACUGCAUGCCCAGUUUGUGCCAGAUGCCCGGUUUGCCCUGCACCUACGACAUGUCCUACAACCACGACAACGACAACUACGACGACACCAGUCCCAGAUUUUAGUGGGUACGGGCCACCUUAAAUUGGCGUGUAUAAAUUUCUCUGCUUCACGUCAAAAUUAAUUAUUUUCAGCCUCUAAUCAAAUAAAUUUUGAAAUUUUAACUGCAAAUUUGAGUCUAUGUUUGUCAUGCAGCUAUUUAUUUAGUACUAGUAAAUAAUUAAAUUGCUGUAUCAAAAAA